rnacentral:rRNA from 1 species
AAUAUUGGACAAUGGGGGAAACCCUGAUCCAGCCAUGCCGCGUGAGUGAUGAAGGCCUUAGGGUUGUAAAGCUCUUUUACCAGGGAAGAUGAUGACGGUACCUGGAGAAUAAGCACCGGCUAACUUCGUGACAGCAGCCGCGGUAAUACGAAGGGUGCUAGCGUUGUUCGGAAUCACUGGGCGUAAAGCGUGCGUAGGCGGCUUUGCAAGUCAAGGGUGAAAUCCCACAGCUCAACUGUGGAAUUGCCUCUGAAACUGCAUCGCUGGAGUGUCGGAGGGGAUAGCGGAAUUCCUAAUGUAGUGGUGAAAUACGUAGAUAUUAGGAGGAACACCGGUGGCGAAGGCGGCUAUCUGGACGACAACUGACGCUGAGGCACGAAAGCGUGGGGAUCAAAC